AUUGAACGCUGGCGGCAGGCCUAACACAUGCAGGUCGAGCGGAUGAAGGGAGCUUGCUCCUGGAUUCAGCGGCGGGCGGGUGAGUAAUGCCUAGGAAUCUGCCUGGUAGUGGGGGAUAACGUCCGGAAACGGGCGCUAAUACCGCAUACGUCCUGAGGGAGAAAGUGGGGGAUCUUCGGACCUCACGCUAUCAGAUGAGCCUAGGUCGGAUUAGCUAGUUGGUGGGGUAAAGGCCUACCAAGGCGACGAUCCGUAACUGGUCUGAGAGGAUGAUCAGUCACACUGGAACUGAGACACGGUCCAGACUCCUACGGGAGGCAGCAGUGGGGAAUAUUGGACAAUGGGCGAAAGCCUGAUCCAGCCAUGCCGCGUGUGUGAAGAAGGUCUUCGGAUUGUAAAGCACUUUAAGUUGGGAGGAAGGGCAGUAAGUUAAUACCUUGCUGUUUUGACGUUACCAACAGAAUAAGCACCGGCUAACUUCGUG
rnacentral:rRNA from 1 species